GUGCUUGCUUUUCCAGCACAUAUACUACAAUUGGAAUGAUAUAGAGAAGAUUACCAUAGCCUCUGUGCAAGGAUGACAGGUAAAUUCAUCAAGUGUUCCAUAUUUUU
ensembl:snRNA U6 U6 spliceosomal RNA